UACGGGGGGGAGCAAGCGUUGUUCGGAUUUACUGGGCGUAAAGGGCGCGUAGGCGGCCACCGCAAAUCGAUUGUGAAAUCUCCGGGCUUAACCCGGAAAGGUCAACCGAUACUGCGGGGCUAGAGUGCAGAAGGGGCAACUGGAAUUCUCGGUGUAGCGGUGAAAUGCGUAGAUAUCGAGAGGAACACCUGCGGCGAAGGCGGGUUGCUGGGCUGACACUGACGCUGAUGUGCGAAAGCUAGGGGAGCGAACGGG
rnacentral:rRNA from 1 species